UACGGGAGGCAGCAGUGAGGAAUUUUGCGCAAUGGGGGAAACCCUGACGCAGCAACGCCGCGUGAGUGAAGAAGGCCCUUGGGUCGUAAAGCUCUGUCGACAGGGAAGAAAUUAUCAUCAUCCAAUAGGUGUUGAUAUUGACGGUACCUGUAGAGGAAGCACCGGCUAACUCCGUGCCAGCAGCCGCGGUAA
rnacentral:rRNA from 1 species